GCCUUAGAAGCGGAAAUUCAUGCUAUGAUGCAAGGUAUGGCGCUAGCAAUCGAGCACUCAGAUAAACCUAUCAUUGUCCAGGCAGAUUAUACUUCGGCAUUGGCCAUACCCGAGGGAGAUUCACACUCUAGAUCGGCCUAUGGACAUUUAUCUGCUGAGAUUAGAGCUCUAAUGGUAGAUAGAGAGUUUAUUCCUAUGUAAAUCACUAGGUGUCAGAAUAGGGUAGAACAUCAAUUGGCACACUAUAGCCGUAUCAAAGCCUGUACUGCGGUAUGGUUGAACUCGAGCCCUCCUUGUUGUGAGGACUUGUUGUCUAACCCUGAUCUUAUGGAAUAA
rnacentral:rRNA from 1 species